CGAUAUACGUUGAAGAAGCCCAGUAGUAGCUUAGUCCCUGUUUCAGAAAGCCGGGGGUUGAUGAAACCCGGUACACACUAAGAGUACGAAUUACACUUUGGAGUAUCUCGGCUAACACCGAGCGGAAUGGCGAACGAUAUCUCGUCACGAGUGGCAUCAAUGCUGUGUUUUAGCAUUAGCGUUUCAUUGGUGCAAUCUGGGUGGUAACACGGUUAUUCAAUCGUCCCUAUG
rnacentral:ncRNA from 1 species